AAUCUCGGCGCGGGAGGCAUUAACAAACAACCAACUGAGAGAUUCAAAGCAAGUUGAACUCGUCGUUAUUUCCCAUAUUAUUUAGACAAUUGUAGCCAUUAUAGCAGACGAUUUUUUGUCUGAUUAAGUAGAAAUCAUUACAAGAAUUCCUAUCCAGCAGAGUUGUGCAGUGAUUCCAUAACCAACUGGAUGAUGGAAGUUUAUUGGGGAUUGCUGCUCUUCUUGAUCAGCUCAUUGAUUUCGUUUUUCUAUUAUUUCUACAGAAAACGUAUUCGUGCUACUACAACUAUUAUUGAACAAACGGAAGCACCUGUUAUUGAUCAUGUGACUGUAAGUGGAAAUGCCGACGGAAUUGCUUUUAUAACUCUGCCAUCCGAUGGCCAGCGCACCAACUUGUCCCCUAUUCCUUCUUAUGGAACGUUUGUUCACAAAGAGAACGAUCCCCCGCCAAGUUACGAAAUGGCGACAGCGUUGCCGACUGGUUGACUCCCGUUUUCUGGACUUGGAUUGAUUAAAGUGCUGCUUUGGUCUCGGUAAUUUUUGAUUGACGAAUGAUUUGACGAACUUUUCUGUGCCUUCAUAUACUGCAACUAAGAAAGAAACUCUGCCGCUUACGAGCAAUAAUCUGUAAAUUUAUUGACAUAAUGUGGCAACUGAGAAUUGCAUUAUUGCAUCACACACCUAUUCUCGCAACGCACUUGAAAUAUCCCCCAGUCAGUUAGUCAUCAUCAUAAGAGGACAAAGUUAUUAGAACAAGCCGACAGCACAAACGGAUCGCCAAAUAAAACUAGCUUAGAACCAGAUUAUUAACCCGGCAUUGUGCAACUUAUAACGUGUAUGUGUUUUCAAUGGUUAUAUUGCUUUAAUAUAUUAUUUCCCUGAUAA
rnacentral:lncRNA from 1 species